rnacentral:rRNA from 1 species
UACGUAGGGGGCGAGCGUUGUCCGAAGUUACUGGGCGUAAAGCGCGCGUAGGCGGGUUGGCAAGUCUGCUGUGAAAGCCCGGGGCUUAACUCCGGAGGGUCGGUGGAUACUGCCAGUCUUGAAGGUGCUAGGGAGAGAUGGAAUUACAGGUGUAGCGGUGAAAUGCGUAGAUAUCUGUAGGAACACCAGUGGCGAAGGCGGUCUCUUGGGGCAUUCUUGACGCUGAGGCGCGAAAGCUGGGGAGCGAACGGG